AAGCCCCGGCAGAGAUUAUUCUGCUCUUUAAAAUUUGCAAUUUUAUGUGCUGCACACCACAGAGCC
rnacentral:tRNA from 1 species